rnacentral:rRNA from 1 species
UCGAACGAGUUCUCGUUGAUGAUCGGUGCUUGCACCGAGAUUCAACAUGGAACGAGUGGCGGACGGGUGAGUAACACGUGGGUAACCUGCCCUUAAGUGGGGGAUAACAUUUGGAAACAGAUGCUAAUACCGCAUAGAUCCAAGAACCGCAUGGUUCUUGGCUGAAAGAUGGCGUAAGCUAUCGCUUUUGGAUGGACCCGCGGCGUAUUAGCUAGUUGGUGAGGUAAUGGCUCACCAAGGCGAUGAUACGUAGCCGAACUGAGAGGUUGAUCGGCCACAUUGGGACUGAGACACGGCCCAAACUCCUACGGGAGGCAGCAGUAGGGAAUCUUCCACAAUGGACGCAAGUCUGAUGGAGCAACGCCGCGUGAGUGAAGAAGGCUUUCGGGUCGUAAAACUCUGUUGUUGGAGAAGAAUGGUCGGCAGAGUAACUGUUGCCGGCGUGACGGUAUCCAACCAGAAAGCCACGGCUAACUACGUGCCAGCAGCCGCGGUAAUACGUAGGUGGCAAGCGUUAUCCGGAUUUAUUGGGCGUAAAGCGAGCGCAGGCGGUUUUUUAAGUCUGAUGUGAAAGCCCUCGGCUUAACCGAGGAAGCGCAUCGGAAACUGGGAAACUUGAGUGCAGAAGAGGACAGUGGAACUCCAUGUGUAGCGGUGAAAUGCGUAGAUAUAUGGAAGAACACCAGUGGCGAAGGCGGCUGUCUGGUCUGUAACUGACGCUGAGGCUCGAAAGCAUGGGUAGCGAACAGGAUUAGAUACCCUGGUAGUCCAUGCCGUAAACGAUGAAUGCUAGGUGUUGGAGGGUUUCCGCCCUUCAGUGCCGCAGCUAACGCAUUAAGCAUUCCGCCUGGGGAGUACGACCGCAAGGUUGAAACUCAAAGGAAUUGACGGGGGCCCGCACAAGCGGUGGAGCAUGUGGUUUAA